UAUCUUCUUAAAAAGAUUUGCUAAGCACGACUGGGCAGGACCCUUUAAAACAGUUGGGGUUUCAUAAUCAAGAAGUUAACAUUAAGAUUUAAUAGUAAAUCCAUCUUCGCAGCCCAUAUUGGUAUCAUAGAACUAAGAUUUAAAUGUAAACGUAGAUGUUGCUGAGACUGAGAAAAGAGAGACCACGAACAGCAGCAGCAGGAGCAGUGCUCGUUAGGGGACAGAUAAUAAGACGGGCUUGAUCCACAGUAACCGGAUCCAUGGAGAGUAAAUCACGAGCUGAAGUGAUUUUGUCGACAUUGGAGCUUGAGAAAAGCAGUCUUCGCUUUUGACAUGUGUCCAAACUUGUCAGCAUCAUGAAAGGGUUUGCCGUUUUUAAUUUGUAUCUCGAGAGCUUCAUUUCAAACCAGUGCUAUCAACGCCAGGCUUUA
rnacentral:lncRNA from 1 species